GGGGUGUGGUCCAGGUGAGGUGGAGAGGAGGCAGGCCUUGGUCAGGCAGGUGCUUGUGGGCCAGGUCUCUGUUGACAUGACACCUCCUUAGGGAAGCUCCCAUAACUGCCUCUACGGACCCCAUCUCUUCAGAGCAACCAUGAAAAAUGCUAUACAAAAAGAUAUACUCAAAAUCACUACAGAUACAUCAAAUGGAAUUUUAAAAAUGUUCAAGUAAUCCACAGGAAGGAAGGAAAAGAUAACAGAAAAAAAAAAAAACAGCAACAGAGUACAAACAGAAAACAAAAAACAAAAUGGCAGACUUAUACUCUAAGUAUCAACAACUACAUUAAACAUAAAAGACCUAAAUAUACCAAUUAACUGACAGAGAUGGGCAGAGUUGACUAUAAAACAGAACCCGACUAUGAGUUGUCUGUAAGAAAUCCCCUCUAAAUAUAGUGAUAUAGGUAAGUUGAAAAUAAAAGGAUGAAAAGGAUGAAUCAUGAAAUCAUUAAUCAAAGGAAAAUGGAAGUGGCUAUAUUAAUAUCAAAGUAGACUUCAGAGCAAAGAAAGUGAUUGGAGACAAGAAGGGACAUUAUGCAAUGAUAAAAAGGUCAAUCCAUUAAGAAGCCCUAGCAAACCCAAAUGUGGAUGCACCAAACAACAGCACUGCAAAAUAUGUGAAGUGAAGAAUGGCAGGGCUGAAAGGGGAAGUAGAUAAAUCUACAAAUGUAGCUGGAGAGUUCAACACACUUCUCAGUUGACCAGGAGACAGCAAAUCAGCAAGGAUACAGAGUAACUCAACACCAGGAUCAGAAUAACAUCAGACACCAGGAUCCAAUUGACCAAACGCUCCACCCAGCGACAACAGAAUAACACUCCAGUGCCCACAGAACAUAUAUCAAUAUAGAUCAUAUCGUGGACCAUAAAAAAAAAACCCUCAACAAAUGUAAAAGAAUUCAAAUCCUACAGAGUGUUUUCUCUGACCCCAGUGGAAUCAAACUAGAAAUCAAAAAAAGUAAUCCAUGA